rnacentral:lncRNA from 1 species
GGCAUUUUUUCAGUUUACAAAGGAAAUUAAUUUUUUUGGUACUAGAGAUUGAAUUCGGGUCCUUGUGCCUGUGAAGCAGGUGACACCACUGAGCUAAAUCCCUGGCCCGAAAAAUUUUAUUUUGAUCAUCCUCUUGUUUGUAAACCAGUUGAUAGUGUGUGAAAUAUUCCUCGUUAUGGAUUGUUGAGCUAGCCUCUUAAGAGACAUGGCCAUAAUCCCUGUUCUCUUGUCUGUCAUAGAUCCCGGAUUACAGGAAUGCAGUCAUAGUGGCCAAGUCUCCAGCCUCAGCGAAGAGCAACAGAUAACUGCAAAUUGAAAUGAAAAAACAAAACCAUUCAAAUUGGUUCAAAGGAAGUGACACAAACAAGAAUAAAUUGAAGAAAAGAUGUGUAAAACCUAUAUACUGAAGACUGUAACAUAUUGCUGAGAGAAACGAAAGAGGACCUCAAUUGAUGGAGAUACCGUGUUCAUGGAUUGAAAGACUCGUAUUGUUAAAAUGUCAUUUCUCCCCAAAUCAAGAGAAUCAAUACUAUCCCAAUUGAAAUGUUAGGAGACUUUUUUUUUUUUUGUAAAAGUGAUAACAUGAUUAUAAAGUUCAUAUAGAAACGUUCAGAACCUAGAGUAGCCAGCAUAGCUUUGAAAAAGAACAAUGAAGUCAAAAAUCUGUCUGAAUUCAACAUUUACUAUAAAGCUGCAGCAACCAUGAUGGUGUGGUGUUGGGAUUAAAGACACAAAAGUAAAUCAGUGGAACAGAAGAGAUUCCAAAAACAGACCCACAUAUAACUAGAAGCUGAUUUCACAGAUGCAAAAGGUAAUACAAAGGCGAUUUUAAAGAAAUAGUGCUGGAAUAAUUGGAUGUUUGUGUAUAAAAUAUGAUGCACACCUGUUAUCCCAGCACUUGAGAGGCUGAAAACAGAUUGCCUCGAGUUUGAGGCAAGCCUGGGCUAUAUAGUGAGUUCAAGGUCAGCCUAAACUACAUAGCAAGACCC